GAUUCGCCGAAUUUCCAGAGAGGAAAAUGGGGGAACCAAAGCGUAUGCCUGCCGAUGCGGCAGCCAUACUAUGGGGUGAAUCCUGAAUAACCGCGGCCGGUCCCGCGCGGCAUCAGGUAGGGCGACUCUCGCGCCCGAAUCCGACAGCUAACCUCGUAGGCGUUAAUGGGAGGG
rnacentral:sRNA from 1 species